GUGCCCUUUUAAGGCUGGCACAGUGCCUUAAGAGGCUAACAUAGAAGGGCAAAGGAAGUCUCCAUAAAACCCAGGGAAGAGACUAAAACUCCUCUCUGGAUCCUGUCUGGAGUCACAGCU
ensembl:snoRNA